rnacentral:lncRNA from 1 species
AUGUCUGGUCGUACAGGAAAGGGCAGGGGCGACUCCCCACUCUUCAAAACCCUAGAACUUCACUAAUCUUGCAAAUUGAAGGUCCAAUUCAGUCCAAAAUCGAAAUUUAAGCAUGGAUUAUUAAUCCUCAUCACAAGAGGAUUAAAAGUUUGAUCUCGUUAAGCUAAGUGGGAGCUGGAAAGGAAUGGAUCAAACGGAUCAUGGAUGCGAAGAAUGUUUGCGCGGACACGACGGUAAAACGGCUUAUGGAAUUUACGUGGCUAUGAAUCAGCAAAUUAUUAAGGCAAGGUAUUAAAACGGGUCAAUACUUUGACCCGCGCCAGGUACGCGUAAAUUUGGUGAAAGAUAUGUGAAUACCUUAAUGUAGAAAAAUGACAUGUGAAAGUAGAGAGUAGGAUUUAAACUUAAAUGAUUAAAUCCUCUCUAACGGGUCAAAAUAAGAACUUGAACGUAAAUGGGUUCUAACUAAGUAAGAAACCCAUGAUUUAUGAUUUAUUUGAUAGGAAAUAUUGAAAUUAUGAUUUUCAUGAGUUUAUAGAGCAAGUAAACAUGUUUGUUUGAUAAAAUCGCGAACAGGUUAAAAUUUGGUAAAAAUGGUAAUAAGCCGAAGACUUAAAAGUCUUAAAUUUUGUUAAUUCGGAUGUUGGAUUUUGACUCCAUAUUAUGAAGGGUCAAAUUACAAUCAUGUAGGAAGAAACGGUGGGUCAAACGGAUAAGCGGUUUGAAAGAUACGAAAGUUUUCGUGCCAAUAAACGGCAAAAUAGGAAAGCUGGAAUGCAGGGGCCACCCUUACGGUGUCACCGUAAGUUAUGGUGGAGUUGAAGGCUUUACGGCAGCCCCCUACUGAUUUACGGUAGGGGCAUGUCACACCAGGGGCCAUCGUAACUUACGGUGCCACCGUAAGUUACGGUGGAGGCCAGUUGGGAAAUCCAUGUUUUGAGAUCAAGAGUUUAACGUUGGGAAUUCUUUUUCCUUCCAUUAUCAUUACCGGAUUUGUUUAGAUUUAUUUCAAUCCACGUAUGACUAAAGCAUUUCAUGUUUAUGAAAUGUAGGUUCAUUUUGGAUGCCGAGAGACGAUCAAGCUCAUCGAAGAACCGAACACGAUAUAGUUACAUGCUUCCGCACUUUGCCACGUUGUAUAUUUUAAACAACGAAUUCGAUCACGUUUUGUAGAAUAACUUAUGAAUUGUAAAUGUUUUAAUUUACUCGAAAUUUUCUAAGGAUACUUAACCUUAAAUACAUGUUUGUUUUCGUAAAUUAUACGAAAACCUUUAAAAUAAUAACUAGGGUGUUACAAGUUGGUAAUCAGAGCUCAUGGUUAAAGAGUAAAGUGUGUUUGGUUCGAGGCUUGAUCGCAAAUCCGGUAAGUACAUGUAUAUUAAUGGUUUGGUAUGUGUUGAAAUGUUGUGAACAACACAUAGGGUUAUCGUGUGAUACACGUUACCUCAAUUAAAUGAUAAAUAUAGUUGAGAAAAUUGCGCGCGUUGACGCGUAUAGUAGAAAAGCCUUGUAUUAUAAUACGGGCGAUUAUUGAAGUUGAUAUUACUAAUUCUUGUAAAUGUUUUAAUUCAAGGACACUCGCAUCUGAAGAUAGCGGGAGUUUAACAAAUUGCGGAUAUGAUGAUGGAACGGUCCGAGAUGUGACAAGAAGAGCAUACUCAUCAAGGACCUAAAUCGCGUAACGAUCGCAAAUAAGUAAUGGCAAGGAAUGCCCGUCGGGGCAAGCAUUACCAGGUGCACAUUUUAAACUUAUAGUACAAACAGUAAUAUGCAACAAAUACAUAGUGAAUGACAGUUGCAUAUAGAAUAUGAAACUUGGAAAAACCUGGAUAGGUUACCUAUCCAGGAUGACGUUUCCAAGAGAAAUUCAGUAGAGAAUAUGUAUUAUUCACAAAUUGUGAAUAACAAGACAAUAACAGAAUUCAGUUUAUAUAGAAACUUGGACGAGAGUGAUCAUCCAAGUAAGUAUUCUCAAUAUAAAUCCUAUUGAGAAAAGUAAUGAUCACAUCAACAAAUGUGAAUAAAUGUUUAUAAAAAGGGACAUUUUACAUGUUCAAGGAUAAACGACUAAAACUAAUAAUUGUUAACUAACAAUUAAAUAAAGUUUUACCAAAUGAAAUCAUAAAUAUGGAAAUAAUUUGAGGAGUUACUUACAUGGGACGUGAUGUGGUAAUUAUAAUAAGGUCAGCGUACCAUGUGUUGAUCGCUUACUCUGGCCAAGUAAGUAGUGAACACAUGAUAGCAUGAGCUUCUUAUAAUGAGCGCAGUUAUGUCCGAUGUAGUAAGGUCAAGAUGAAUGAAAAUUUAAAGGAUCCUUAGGGUCAAGAAAUGUUACGGGCAUACUCGUAUAAAUGGUUUUCGCGGGAACCAUAAAAACGACGUAUGGCGCACAUAGAAAUAAAUGACCCAAGGAAAUUCGUGACAUAAGUCAUUUCGGACGAAACAACCAUGGUAGACAAAAAGGGCAUUGUAAAACCAAAGUAUAAAUGACCCGCGGGGUCAUAGAAACAAAGGUAUUGCCCACAUGGGAAAAACGAUCAAAAACCAUGGUAGACAAAAAGGGCAUUGUAAAACCAAAGUAUAAAUGACCCGCGGGGUCAUAGAAACAAAGGUAUUGCCCACAUGGGAAAAACGAUCAAAGUCGUUGACUUUGGUCGUAGUAAAGAAAUGAUGAUGAUGAUGAUAAUCAUCAUUCAUAGUUUAUAAGACUGUCAAGGAUGGUCGAAUAAAGAAUAAAGGUUUGGUUGAAUAAAAGCGAUGGAUUUCGCUAAGACAACCAAACAAAUUAAAACGAAAUCUUAAUGUAUACCGGAAUGCUUGCACUAAUAAUGACAUCGGUAAAGUACCCGGUUGAUGGGUAAGGAUUUAAACACAUGCGUAAACCGAGAAACGGGAACACGAAUUUAAAGUCAAAAGACUCGGAUUAUGAGUUAUGACUGAAAGACCAUAAAAUUUCGCAAACAGAAAUUUUGAUAAUUAUAUUCAACUAUUUUGAGGUUGAACGGGUUGAAUAAAGUAUAAUGCUUGAUGGCAUAAGUAAGCGCAAGCCGGAUAACGGUAAGCUUGAGACAAACCGAUGCUUAAUUGACGUGAGAAGUCAUAGAGUCGGAAGAAUUAUCCGAAAGAAAACGAUUAUAGACACGAACUACAGUCAAAGUUAACGGAUUUCAAGCAUGAAAACAAAUGAUUUUCAAACAAAAAAAAGAGAGUGCUUUGACACCAAAUAUAUAUUUUAAUAAAGACACGAGUAAAAAGAAUGAUCUACGGGAUCAUCAUAACCUUCAGGUUAUAAACAGUGUAAAGGUCUACGGGACCAAAAUGACCUACGGGUC